UGCCAGGUACUUUUUUUCAAAUGUCUGCAAUAAUAAUUUUAAAAGUCUGGGAAGAACAAAAAAUGUGAGGCAAGCUAGUGUAACCAAAAGCCUUUAUAUUCAAAAAUCUGCAAAUAUCUGCAACCAAACUAAAAAAUCUGCAAAUAUCUGCAACCAAACGGAAAAAUCUGCAAAUAUCUGCGUCAUCGAAAAAAUCUGCAGCUUAAAUUAAAAGUCUGCGAAUUUGCAGACUUGUCUGCAAAUCUGGCAUCUCUGGUAGUGAAAAAACAACCCGGAGACAACUUGACAGCUCCCAUAUAUUGAACUCAUAAGCAAAUUUUGUGGUGAUUUGGUGAUGUCAUGGUGGCUCGAAUGGAGCAAUAUUGAAAAAGGGACAUCUCACGGAAUAUUACUUUCUAAGUGGCACAAAUAACUGCUGUGAGCACGUUCAUUUGCCAUUUGUAAUAUGAAAAGAGGUAGAUUGAUUACACCCAAGUUAGAAUGAGUAGCACUGACUACACCGGAGUAGGGCAAUGACAAAAACGAAAAUGCCAUUAGUGAAGCCAUGAAUAGGAUACAAAAACAGCAAUGGGUGAAUCGGUUUGUACUUCUCUUAUAAGACUAAAAAACAAACAUACCCCAAUACUCCAAGCACGUGAUAUUACGCCCUUGUUCGAGACCGAUUUCCGAAAUUCGAUGAAUGUCAAAUCUAAACUAAAAAAAACCAGUCAUGCCUACAUGUCUAGAGCGAUCAAGAAUAGCAGCACGAAUGCCAAGUUCAAGGCUCCACUGCUGGUAUAGCAACAUACUGUCUGAGGAGGCAUUACGAUGACUGUCACCUACACCGACUAUCUACCGCAGAUCCAACACAGGGAGUGAAGCACGUGUACGAUGAGUAGCACACGUAUCAGUGGGGCAAACUUGUCUCGUGAGUGAGAAACAAAUCAACUAACAUGAAUGAAUAUCAGAUGUAUCUUUCUGGUUCGACAACGAUUAGAUAAGUUGUUUUCGGUGGCCAGUCAAACGAUAGAUAAACAACAAAGUAUGGAACCCGAUGUCGAAGACACUUUUCGUACAAAGCGGAACAAAGCAUAUCGAUCUGACUUGUCAGUGUCGUCUAUCGUGCAAGCUGUUACACCGGAAGUUUUGAUUUCGCUGCUCGCUAAUUUUUUGACGGAAUAAUCGUUGGUUAUAUAGAAUAGAUUUUACUAAAUUCUGGGAAUAAAAGAACAAUACAUACGGAAAAACCGUAUAAUUCGCGAAUAUGGCAAAGCAAUAAACCGAAAUGAUUGCUAAACAUAUGGUGUUUUCGUUUUUUCCUGGUGCUACACCGGUGUAGUGCAAAAAAGAGACAGACUGACACCCAAGUUUGAAUGAGUGUAGCACCAGGUUUGUUCCAGUACCAGGAGAAACUGGAAGUACUCCGGAGCAAACGGGGAGAAAAACGUUCCUGUAUUAUCUUCUUCCCUUUUUCUUCUUUUGGUAGCAAACCGGAGUGAAAAGGAGCAAGAAUUUUUUGCUCCGGAGCAACAGGGAGUAACUUCCGUGUACUGGAACAAACCUACCGACUACACCGGUGUAGUGCACAAUCAAAAACGAAAACGACAAUAGUCUCAAUUACCAAAAUUCGGGACAAUGAGAUGUCACAUCGCGGCCGGUUGCAGCAGACUCAACACUAGUGAUUCUAGUAAACAAGAGGCUGGAUAUCGUGUGAAUUCUGAAGAUGGAGCAACUGAAGAAAUGAGACAUGCGUCGAAUCUAAAUUUUUGUAAGUAUUUCUUCAAUAACUAUCUGUCUUACUUUCUUCCAGACCGGUAUUAUAUGAUUUUACUGCAGGGAACAUAUCUCCGAAUAUGUUUGUACAUUUCUCCAACAUCAACAAACAGCUUUCUCUGGUUUUUGGAACAAUUCCGUUUCGUUGGCGAUUAACUGUACGAU